GAAGGUGAACAAUAUACGUAUCUACCAUAGUGUGUCAAUUGUGGAAAAUAUCCUAAUCGGUAAGCCUGAAUAUACAUCAUAUAUUUUAUACGCAUAUGCCACAAUAUACAAAAAUAAAUAUUUGUUUUGUUAUAUAGCUUUUUAUAAUUCGCACACUCAUGAUAGAUAAAAAAGAAUCUUGUGAAAUUCGAUUUAUAUCUAGAUAUGUCAAAACGAAUGCAGGUAUGUUAAAUAUUGGUUGUGGCCGUCAAACAAAAUUCUUAAAGUUUACCAUAAUGAAUUAUUUAUCAAAGUUUCAUUCCAAGAUAUCCCAUUAAGAUUAUCUUAAUAUAUAGCACACAUCGACCAAAUGUGUUGAAUGAUUCCAAAGAACCAAGCUUUCAAAAAGAGAGGAAUAAACGAUACCAGAAGGACAUUCAAACUGUUAAAUCGAAAAUAAUCUGACAAAGUCAUGGGUGAAAAGGAAAAAGAUAAAAAACAAGCAAUAAUUCACCAAAAGAGAAGGAUUUCCCCUUAUCGUUCAACCCAUCGUAGUUGUGUUCAAGUUUGAAUUUGCCUUUUCCUUUGGGUUUAAUAAACCUAUACAGACCGUACUUGUUUUAUAUGUUACAUGUAUUUAUAUUGUAGGUUCUGUUUUAAUUGUUUGCUUGGCAACGUUUCGUGUUGCAGUACAAACCUUUGAUGCGAUACACGAGGACAUAAUAUCUGAAUGGAAAAGAUUCGUAGACAUAAAAAGAUACUUUUCCAUUUCCAUUUGGAUGGUUAUUGUUGCAGCAAUACUAUAUUUUUCAAAUGGUAUACUAGCCAUAGUCAGUUUACGCAAAGGGUUUGUAAUCAACGCAAAAGAUGCAUCAGGAAAAAGAUUAGAAGAAGCAACCAAAUCUGGAAACUCAAAAUCCUUUGCAAUUGUUUAAGUGUAUAAUCAAUAAAUUAUUGCGCCGUGAAC
rnacentral:lncRNA from 1 species